CCUGUGUAUUGUAAACCAUUUCAUUUGUAUGCUUGGGACAAUUGUAAAACCAUGGCCAGAGUCUGUGCACAAGAGCAAGGAGGCGGUAUGCGUCCCAUAGCAUUCUUUUCCAAAGUAGUUCGAGCUCCGGUACAGGGUAUGCCGGCGUGUCUCAGAGCAUUGAUAGCAUGUGCAAUGGCUGUUGAAACUGCUACUACUAUCACACUAGGGCAUCAUACAAUACUUCAUGCCAGUCACCAGGUCACUCAGCUGAUAAUAAAUAUCACCAUACAACACAUGACAGCCCAGCGCUUCAGUGGUUAUGAGAUUCUUUUUUUUUUUUUUAAAUACCCAGAAUCUGUCUUUUGGAUUAAACAAGGUUUAGAGAAAGAUCAAAAUGAUCUGUUCUCUAAAGAGGGGAGAAUAGGCAUACUUGAAGAAUAGGCAUACUUGAAGAAUAGGCAUACUUGAAGCAAGCUGCUUUAUUUUCAUCAGUCAGGCACAUAGCAAGCACCAUUCAAUUCUUCAUGAAUUCAUUUUAUAUUAGGAAUCUCAGGCAGCAUGUACAGUCUUUUGUAAGAUCGUGUGAACGCUGCUCUUUUUACACACUUACAGAUUGAUUUUAUUCAUGUAUCCAAAAUUGGUAAGAAACAGCAAUACUUACUGGUCAUAGUUGAUCAGUUUAGUAGAUGGCAUGAGGCCUUUGUGACAUCUAGGGAAGAUGCUAGUGAAGAUUAUUGUUACUGAAAUUAUUCCCAGGUAUGGCUGCCCUCUGCAGAUUGGCUCUGAUAAUGGCCCGGUUUUUGCAAGUGGGGUUGCCCAGGAACUUGCUAAAUUCUUGCAAGUUACCUGGCAGUUUCAUAUACCCUAUCAUCCACAGAAUACAGGGGUAGUUGAAAGGAUGAAUAGGACUAUUAAGGAAAAGCCCAGAAUUUACCCAGGAACAUGGGUAAAUUGGACUAGAUAUCUACCAACUAUUUUAGCUGAGAUAAGAAUAUAUCCCCACAAGGUGACUAAAUUAUCUCCAUUUGAGAUUUUGAUGGGAUGACCUUUUCCCACACCCUGGGCCAGGGAACCGCUUGUUAUAAUGUCUGGGGAUUUACAGCUAAUACAAGAACAAUAUGUACAGGAAUUGUUGAUAAAACUGAAUGGUAUGUAUGACAAUGUUUCUUCGCAGUUUUCCCUUACCUUCACAGGAACCUACUCAUUCAUACCAGCCCGGUGACAAGGUGUAUAUCCGUCAGCUGAACAGGACCAAGAAAGGAGGAUACCCUUUUGGACCACCUGCUACUGUGAUUGCUGUAACCAGAACCGCUGUCCUCACAGAUUCCCAUGACAUCUGGAUUCACGCAUCCCGAGUGAAGCUGUGUCCAAAGAGGGGAACCAAGGAAGACAACACCACUCCUCGCUCGGAAACAGAAGAAUUUCUCCUCAGCGAAGCAUCAUGGCUUUUACACCAUAUCGUAGAUUGAGAGGAUCAUACGUACCUGAGACCAAGAUUAUGUUGUGCGCUAUGCUUUCUGGAGUUGUUAUACUCCCUCUGAUAUUGUUCCUUGAAUGCCAUUAUGAGUACAAGUCAAUGGCAAGUUCUGGAAAAAGACUCUGACAUGAUGAACAAUUCUUCAAUACCCCCAGCCCAAUUAGGCCUUAGCCCCUCAUCUAGCAUUCGUCACACACCUUCCCUCAAGAACCUUUCUCCACCACCUUUCUAUCAGCAUGCAAUAUGCAAUCAUUCAUUCAAUGAACGCAUUUGGAUGAAUUGGACAAAUAGUAACCCUUAUAAGUACCAGUUACCCAUAUGAAAUGUGUCUACAGCUAAUGAAACCGAUGCAUUAUGUUUGUUUGAAGGUUCACAGAAAAUUGUUAGAUCUUAUAACGCAGAAAUGUGCACAGUUAAGGUUGCAUAUCAAUGUAAACAGACAGGCCUUAUUACAUUUAAUAAUGAUUAUAUAACUGGUAUCAUUAAUUGGAGAAGGGGACAAAUGUUAGUCAUUAUGAACGACACUACAAUUGAGAACUAUACACUACCUUAUAUUUUUACACCUUAUUACUGUCCUUUAUCCUCUACCAUAGAACCAAAAGUCAACAACGACACACACACACCUAUUCCGUCCACAUGUAUUAAUACAACUGCCUUCUUACAAGCUGUACAUGUGUCAUUAAAAAUCACUACUCCUGUUGUAACAUUAUGUAACACAACAAACAAAAGGCAGAAAAGGGAAUGGUAUGACACACUGUUAGAUGGUGCUGGAACCACUAUGGGUAUACUAAAUAGUUAUAGAUAUGGAGACCCUCAAGAAUAAGUUAAACACAGCCAGCAUGCAUAUAGGGACUGGUUUCCAUGCUACUGCAAACUGGGCUCCAAUUGUUAAAUCACAGGUUACAGGAUUGGAUUUAGAUAAAUCAAUGUAUAAUUAUUUAGAUAAUUUAACUGUUGCAACUAUGAAAUUCACUACAGGUCUAAGUAACUGGAGUACUUGUGCCAUCAGGUAUUUAUGGAUACAACAACAAGGAUUGGCAUUAGAAAACACACUAAUGAUUCCUCAACUAGAGAAGAUUAGAGGGAUGCUUAACCUCACAGAUAAUGAAUGGUUACUUCUAAAACCCCA
rnacentral:lncRNA from 1 species